rnacentral:rRNA from 1 species
UACGGAAGGCAGCAGUGGGGAAUAUUGCACAAUGGGCGCAAGCCUGAUGCAGCCAUGCCGCGUGUAUGAAGAAGGCCUUCGGGUUGUAAAGUACUUUCAGUCGUGAGGAAGGUGUUAAGGUUAAUAACCUUAGCAAUUGACGUUAGCGACAGAAGAAGCACCGGCUAACUCCGUGCCAGCAGCCGCGGUAAUCGGAGGGUGCGAGCGUUAAUCGGAAUUACUGGGCGUAAAGGGCACGCAGGCGGUUAAUUAAGUUGGAUGUGAAAUCCCCGGGCUUAACCUGGGAAUGGCAUUCAAGACUGGUUAGCUAGAGUCUUGUAGAGGGGGUAGAAUUCCAUGUGUAGCGGUGAAAUGCGUAGAGAUGUGGAGGAAUACCGGUGGCGAAGGCGGCCCCUGGACAAAGGACUGACGCUCAUGUGCGAAAGCGUGGGGAGCGAAACAGGGAUUAGAU